ACUCUUCUGAAUUCUGACUCAGAAAGGCUGAGUGAAGUUAGAAUUUAAAAUCAAAAGGUAGAGAGAUGGAGCAAUUACAGUCUGUGAACAAACUCUUCAAUGGAGGGUGAAGAUCGGGAGAAUGUGCAGUGACAUUGUGAGCUUCAAAUCAGCUCUCCAGGGCCCAGCACAGAAUGUCAGGGAGGGGACCUCUGAACAGGUCUAUACCACCUUCGUUCGCUCAAACUACAGAUCCUUAUGAAGUCUAGCAAAGGAGACUACAGAAUAGUGACCACAGGGAGUUCCCAAUUCCUCACAUGUUUCAGCUUCUAUAAAAUGUCAUAUAUGGGGAUGAAGAGAUGGCUCAGCUGUUGAGAGUACAAACUGCUCUUGCAGGGGACCUGGGAUCAGUUCCUGGCUCACAAUCUUUACCCUCUGCUACAUCAGUUCCAGAGGAUCCAACACAUUGUCAGGUAUCUGAGGUUUUGCAAGGGCUGACCACUCUGCACUGGACAGCCAAUAAACCUCUUUCUAGCAAAUGGAAACCAUCACAGAAAACCACAACUGGACCCAAUGCAGAGAUGCACAGAUAGUGGAGAGCCCAACCCCAGCUCAGCACAGUGACCAACCAAGCCAAAUAUCUUCUUGAACUGGUACACGAUGAAUGAAGAGUGUACACUGAGAGCUCGUUGGAAGGAGAAAUGAAGAGAGAGGCCAGUUUUAGGCCAGCGUUUUCUGGAGCUGAGGAGGUCGAGUGCUGUUCGUCCUUUGGAUACCAAUUUAUCAUCAGCUGCAUGGCUCGAAUGUGUUUGUUCCCAUUACAUAAACUAUCUCUUUACUGUG
rnacentral:lncRNA from 1 species